CCUACGGGAGGCAGCAGUGGGGAAUAUUGGACAAUGGGGGCAACCCUGAUCCAGCAAUGCCGCGUGAGUGAAGAAGGCCUUCGGGUCGUAAAGCUCUGUGGGGAGGGACGAACAAGUCCGACAUUAACACUGCCGGGCCCUGACGGUACCUCCUUAGCAAGCACCGGCUAACCCCGUGCCAGCAGCCGCGGUAAU
rnacentral:rRNA from 1 species